rnacentral:rRNA from 1 species
AUUGAACGCUGGCGGCAGGCCUAACACAUGCAAGUCGAACGAGUGGCGGACGGGUGAGUAAUGUCUGGGAACCUGCCCGAUGGAGGGGGCUAACUACUGGAAACGGUAGCUACUACCGCAUACCAUCGGAUGUGCCCAGAUGGGAUUAGCUAGUAGGUGGGGUAAUGGCUCACCUAGGCUACGAUCCCUAGCUGGUCUGAGAGGAUGACCAGCAACACUGGGACUGAGACACGGUCCAGACUCCUACGGGAGGCAGCAGUGGGGAAUAUUGCACAAUGGGCGAAAGCCUGAUGCAGCCAUGCCGCGUGUAUGAAGAAGGCCUUCGGGUUGUAAAGUACUUUCAGCGAGGAGGCGUUACCCGCAGAAGAAGCACCGGCUAACUCCGUGCCAGCAGCCGCGGUAAUAC